rnacentral:rRNA from 1 species
AUUGAACGCUGGCGGCAGGCCUAACACAUGCAAGUCGAGCGGCAGCGGGAAAGUAGCUUGCUACUUUUGCCGGCGAGCGGCGGACGGGUGAGUAAUGCCUGGGAAAUUGCCCAGUCGAGGGGGAUAACAGUUGGAAACGACUGCUAAUACCGCAUACGCCCUACGGGGGAAAGCAGGGGACCUUCGGGCCUUGCGCGAUUGGAUAUGCCCAGGUGGGUUUAGCUAGUUGGUGAGGUAAUGGCUCACCAAGGCGACGAUCCCUAGCUGGUCUGAGAGGAUGAUGAGCAACACUGGAGCUGGGACGCGGUCCAGACUCCUACGGGAGGAAGCAGUGGGGAAUAUUGCACAAUGGGGGAAACCCUGAUGCAGCCAUGCCGCGUGUGUGAAGAAGGCCUUCGGGUUGUAAAGCACUUUCAGCGAGGAGGAAAGGUUGAUGCCUAAUACGCAUCAACUGUGACGUUACUCGCAGAAGAAGCACCGGCUAACUCCGUGCCAGCCGCCGCCGUAAGAC